AUCCCCUCCGCCGGAAGGGCACGGGUUUCCCGGCAAUGCGUCGUCAGCCGGGAGUAAGCCGGUCCUAAGGCCGACCUUAACCGGGUAGGCCGAAGGGGAAACCGGUUAAGAUUCCGGUGCCUCUCGGGUAGGUGCGGCGACGCAAGCCGGGCUCCCGACGCCUCAGGUAAGGCCGAGCAGGGCCGUAGCCCUGUCUAACCUCCCAAGCCUGGGGAGAGCCGUAAUGGCGAGAACCAGGUGAAUGGAGGGAUGGGGCGGCCUUAAGGCCGCUUCGGCUGGACCCUGGGGCCAGUGAAAAGGGAGCCCGGAACGAUCCCGAGAGACCGUACCUAGAUCCGACACAGGUGCCCCUGGCUGAGAAGGCCAAGGCGUCUGGGGUUACUCCGGGCUAGGGAACUCGGCAAAUUGGCCCCGUAACUUCGGGAGAAGGGGUGCCUGCCUUCCUGCCCGGUGAGGGUGGGUUGGUAGGUCGCAGUGACAAGGGGGUCCUGACUGUUUAAUAAAAACAUAGGGAGCCGCUAGGCCGAAAGGCUUUGAACGGCUCCUCAAUCCUGGCCAGCACCGGUACCUGAACCCCGGGUCCAACCGGGAUAAGGGCCGGUUAGCGCCGGGGGUAACUCUGACCCUCAAGUUCAAGGGGGUCGUUAAACGCGGCUGUAUGCGGGGAAGGAGGAGGCUAUGGGUACCCCGCGCGGGUAACAAUCCCGUAGCACCGUGAAUCCGACCCGCAGGAAACCGCCCUGUGAAACAGCUAUAAAGGCUGAAGGUCAGCGGACAGCAGAUGAGUCUAGCCUACCUCAUUGGAGUGAUGCUGGGAGACGGAGGCGUCUACGGCAACUAUUACACGGUCUUCUGCCGAGACCCUAACUUCGAGUUCGCCAACUUUAUCGCCGCCACGGUUGAAGAGCUUUUCGGAGUCAAGCCAAACAUACGGCGCGCAAGUAAAAGCCUCUACAUAGUCUCCACGAAUGUUAGGAAGGUACAUGACUUCUUGUUGAGGAUCGGGUUCCCGAAGGGGCGGAAGCUCGUCAGCGCGCAGAUACCGGAAUUGUUUAAACACGAUAUCGACGUCGUGAAGGGGCUGUUCGACAGUGAAGGAUACUGCGGGAUAGAUGUUCAGACUCAGGGCAUGAAGAAGUUUCGCUAUCCCUACGUCAGCAUCGACAUGGUCGCGAAAAAAGUGCUUGUAGAGGCACACCACAUACUGCAGUUAAACGAGAUAUCAUCUACCUAUAACCGUAAAAAACCCCACACAUGGGGAAGACACUAUCAAUGGAGGCUAACCGUGAUGGGGUGGGACAAUGUGGAGAAGUUCUCGGAGAAGGUGGGUUUCAGACACCCUGAAAAGGCGGAGAAACUCCGGAAAAUAUUAGUUGAGGGCGGGAUCCUCAGAGACCAUACGCCGCGCACCCUUAAUGGGUGAUGAUAUGGUCCAACCCCGACCAUUCGGUCGGGCAUGCUUAAGGUAGCCAAAUGCCUUGUCGGGUGAGUUCCGACGUGCAUGAAUGGAUCAACGAGGGCCCCACUGUCCCGGCCCGGAGCCCCGUGAACCCACAUAACGUGGGCGAACAGUCCACGAACCCCCAGUGGGGAGAGAAGACCCUGUGGAGCUUUACUGCAGCCAGUUGCUGCGGAGUGGUCUGGAGUACAUAGCGUAGCCGGGAGCCGUCGAUCCAGGUCUCUCCGGGGGCCUGGGGAGGCGCCAAUGUAACACCGGCUACUCCGGACUGCCCCGCUAACCAGGGCCUGACCCUGGGACAACGGCUGGUGGGCAGUUUGGCUGGGGCGGCACUCCUCCGAAAAGAUAUCGGAGGAGCCCAAAGGUCGGCUCAGGCGGGACAGAAACCCGCUGUAGAGUGCAAGGGCAUAAGCCGGCCUGACAGGACCCUCGAACGCAAGGGGUCCUGAGGGGAAACCCGGGCCUAGCGAUCCAUCGGCUCCUACCAGUGGGGGCCGGUGGUGACAGAAAAGUUACCCCAGGGAUAACAGGCUCGUCGCGGGCGAGAGUCCCCAUCGACCCCGCGGCUUGGUACCUCGAUGUCGGCUCUUCCCCUCCUGGCCUCGCAGCAGGGGCCAAGGGUGAGGCUGCUCGCCUAUUAAAGGGGAACGUGAGCUGGGUUUAGACCGUCGUGAGACAGAUCGGUUUCUACCUACUGGGGGUGCGGGCCGCCUGAGGGAAAGGUCCUCCUAGUACGAGAGGAACGGAGGGCCGGGGCCAACGGUUUACCGGUCGUCCUACAGGGCGGCGCCGGGCAGCCGCGCCCCUGUGGAUAAGGGCUGAAAGCAUCUAAGCCCGAAGCCACUCCCAAAAAUAGGCGGCCAAUCGGGGCCUAUAGGGCCUGGCAACGGGCCUUGGGCCCCGACGAGGGCUCCCCUAGAAGAGGGGGUUGAUGGGGUGGGCGUGUACGGGCGG
rnacentral:rRNA from 1 species